UGGACUUCGUGUGAGGAAUAUUAUGGCUAUCAUUACUAAAAAGCAGGUAAACAUUCCCCUUAUUGGAUGAAAAACAUAAAUUAAUUAAGAACUUCUAAAACUCAGUCGUUAUUAUUAUCUUCAUUGACCAAGAUCAAUAAAAUAAAAAAUAGAAAUAAAACAGCAUGACCUACUUUGUAGAAUGGAGUUAAUGAUGGAUCAUGGAUGGCACGUGAUUGUCUCCUACAAGAGAGGUAAUAGAGGCCACGUUCUUUGCAUGAAAGCUACAACACCAAUGGGAAGUAAAGAAUCCAGCUAAUUCAAGUGCAUGGCCCCUGAAAUCCACAAUGUUUAUUUGUUUGGUUAUUACAUUCCCUCAUACUCAUAGUCUAUGAUGAAUGUUUAGAAUCUGGACUAUGAGCAUGUUCAGGAAUUCUCGGAGUCCCCACAAGUAAGUAGGC
rnacentral:lncRNA from 1 species